CGCACUUUUAACGUGUUUUAAGGCGACAAUUUCCAUAAAAAUAUAAUAAGAAACAAGAUGUCUGCAAAGGUUUUCCUGAUUAUAUGCGUCGUGGCAGUCCUGAUUGCAGUGUCCUGCGGACAGAAUGAGACUACAGAUUCUACUACGAAAUGCUCUGGCUUCGGUGCGCCGUGCAACACCACUGAGGAUUGCUGCCGAAGAUUCAAAUGUCAACCUCAGUUUCAGUUAUUGUUUCCAACAUCAACUACACGUAAUGUGUGUAUGAUUGCAUUUUGAAUCUGAAUACUUCAUUCGCCAUUGUAUGCUUUUACUGUCUUUUUCAAUUGUUGUGUAUUUAUAUUAUGUUUCAGUGUACAAUAAAGUGUUUAAAUAAAUUCUUAUUAAAGGAAAUGAAAUAUAGUUACCUACAUUAAUAUUACUAGAGCAUAUUGUUUCAUUGAGAUUACCUAUCUAUAACUUAGUCUUGAUAUUUUAAGUAGGUGUUUUCGUCGAUCGUUUUUUGAUCAUAAAUCAUUAACUUAAAAAGUAAAAUUAACCAAAUGUAAUAACACAAAAUCAAUAUUUUACUGAUGUAUUUAUUUUGUUAGGUUAUUCUACCUAUAAUUUUACUACUGCUCUUAUCAUUUGAAUAAGUACCUACCUAACAAAUUUUUCAUAGAAAUGUAUAUGGACUUUUCCAAGUUUCACUGUAAUUAUCUGUGACUAACCUGAAUUACAUACAUUGAUUAGUAAUUUAUCGUGAAUUAGCAAUUUAAUAUGGAACACUGUGCAUUUUUUAAUUACCAUAGUUUAUAUACUCUGCAUAAAAAUACAAUUCCUUAUUAAGAUUUCAGAUAUACGUUUUCAACUUGCUUAUUCAAAAGUAGGUAUUAUAUUUUCAAAUAUUAUAAAAUCAUUUUUAGUGUAAUACCGGUACUUAGCCGAUUUUUUACUGCAGCUAAUAAGAUGACAGUGAAGGUGUUUCUGAUUAUGGCACUCCUGAUGGGAGCAUGCUACAGUGACGACGAUGAGUCUGACUAUGAGUCGCUGAUGCCAUGGAAUUCUGGUACAGGGAAAUGCUCACACUUCGGUAUGCCGUGCAACACAACUCAGCCAUGCUGCCCAUUACUAACCUGUCGACGUCAAUUUUUGCCAAUGUUUCGUAAAGAUAUAAAUGCGAAAAAAUGCCUGCCGUAAAUGGGAUACCUACUUAGGAAUGGGAAGGAAAACUGGAAAAAUAAUCUUCAAUGCUUUUUAAAUACUUAUAAUUUAUGUAUGUAGGUAUGCCUCUAUCGCUUUAUACAGGUUGUUGCAGAAAGGGUAACUAAGCCGAAACCCACAUGUGCAGCAUGG